UACGUAGGGUGCAAGCGUUAAUCGGAAUUACUGGGCGUAAAGCGUGCGCAGGCGGUUUUGUAAGUCUGUCGUGAAAUCCCCGGGCUUAACCUGGGAACUGCACUUGUGACUGCACAGCUGGAGUACGGCAGAGGGGGAUGGAAUUCCGCGUGUAGCAGUGAAAUGCGUAGAUAUGCGGAGGAACACCGAUGGCGAAGGCAGUCCCCUGGGCCUGUACUGACGCUCAUGCACGAAAGUGUGGGGAGCAAACAGG
rnacentral:rRNA from 1 species